rnacentral:misc_RNA from 1 species
AACGCACCUUGCGCCCUCUGGUAUUCCGGAGGGCAUGCCUGUCUGAGUGUCAUGUAGACUCAAUCCUCCGGGUUUCCGGCCGAUUGGAUUUGGGCGUCUGCCUUCUUGGCUCGCCUUAAAUGCCUUAGUGGCCUGCUGUGGUCCCAUCUGACGUAAUAAGUUUCGUCGGUUAGGGGUCCCUGUGGACUGCUCACAACCGCCUUUGGGCAACUUCAUUGACUCUGACCUCAGAUCAGGUAGGACUACCCGCUGAACUUAA